GUGCCAAGCAGCCGCGGUAAUUCCAGCUCCAAUAGCGUAUAUUAAAUUUGUUGCAGUUAAAAAGCUCGUAGUUGUAUACCUACGUAGCACUUCGAUAUAGUUAUUAACUAGACGAAAUGCUGGUAUUUGAGCACGGGAUCAUCUUACGCUUAAUUGUCGUACUGAUGCUCAACGUGCAUUUUACUUUGAGGAAAUUAGAGUGUUCCAAGCAAACAUGGUUGUGAAUAUAAUAGCAUGGGAUAAUAUUUUUUUGACCUGGAGUCGAAGUGUAAGCUUUGAUUCCACGGUAAUUUCGAAAGGGAUAUCUGGGGGCAUUCGUAUUAAGCUGUCAGAGGUGAAAUUCUUAGAUUUUCUUAAGACGAACAAAUGCGAAGGCAUCUGCCAAAGAUGUUUUCAUUGAUCAAGAACGAGAGUUAAGGGAUCGAAGACGAUUAGAUACCGUCCUAGUCUUAACAGUAAACUAUGCCACCUAAAGAUUGGGAGACGUUCUUUACGCUCUCAGUAUUUUAUGAGAAAUCAAAGUCGUUGGGUUCUGGGGGGAGUAUGGUCGCAAGACUGAAACUUAAAGGAAUUGACGGAAGGGCACCACCAGGAGUGGAGCCUGCGGCUUAAUUUGACUCAACACGGGGAAUCUUACUAGGUCCAGACAAAGGGAGGAUUGACAGUUUGAGAGCGCUUUCUUGAUUCUUUGGGUGGUGGUGCAUGGCCGUUCUUAGUUGGUGGAGUGAUUUGUCUGGUUAAUUCCGUUAACGAACGAGACCUUAGCCAUCUAAAUAGUAUUUUAAACAUCAUUUUAAUAUGCUUCUUAGAGGGACUGUGUGUUUGAGCACAAUGAAGUUUAAGGCAAUAGCAGGUCUGUGAUGCCCAA
rnacentral:rRNA from 1 species